rnacentral:tRNA from 1 species
GGCGGUGUAGCUCAGCUGGCUAGAGCGUACGGUUCAUACCCGUAAGGUCGAGGGUUCGAUCCCCCCCGCCGCUA